rnacentral:rRNA from 1 species
GGAGGAAGGUGGGGAUGACGUCAAAUCAUCAUGCCCCUUAUGUCUAGGGCUUCACACAUGCUACAAUGGCUAGUACAGAGGGCUGCGAUACCGCGAGGUGGAGCGAAUCCCUUAAAGCUGGUCUCAGUUCGGAUUGGGGUCUGCAACUCGACCCCAUGAAGUCGGAGUCGCUAGUAAUCGCAGAUCAGCAACGCUGCGGUGAAUACGUUCCCGGGCCUUGUACACACCGCCCGU